rfam:Trametes cinnabarina, BRFM137, WGS project CCBP01000000 data, contig: scf184813
GGCCGACUAGCUCAGUUGGUUAGAGCGUGGUGCUAAUAUCGCAACGCCAAGGUCGUCGGUUCGAUCCCGGCGUUGGCCA